rfam:Picea glauca, whole genome shotgun sequence.
UAAUUCUCCUUGAAUGAUUUUUUUUUCGUGGAAUUCUCCUUAAAUUACCAAAUCCUGACAUGGGGAGGUGGUGACGAUAAAUAACAAUAAUGGGUUCAUUGAGUCUAGUAAUUGGAAUGAAUACAAUUUAAAUCCCUUAAUGAUGAUUCAUUGGAGGGCAAGUUUGGUGCUAGUAGCCGCGAUAAUUCCAGCUCCAAUAGCCUAUAUUUAAGUUGUUGCAGUUACACCCUAAGUGGGCCUAAUGGUUAAAAACUUGUGUUUCAUUCUAAGAGGUCACAAGUUCAAAUCUAGAGGAGAGUAGGGUAUGUAUAGCUCCAUAGGCUUUAACCCACAAAGAGGAUCUCUUAUCCCACAAACAAGAUACACCAAUUUAGUGUCUAACUCAACCGUGACCUUAAAGUUAUAU